AACAGAGGGAAGCACCGAGCUGGUUUUACUCCUGCUCAGGACUAAAUAACGAGAAUUGCUGGGCAUGCGCAGACAGAGGAGCGAAGUUUAACGCUCCAUGCGCCCCUCUUAAGCCCCGUUGUUGGACCUCUGAUGGAAACUGCGCACGCAAUGAAGAAGCCUGGAUAGUGCAAACGCUGGAAGAAGGGGGGGAGGGGGUAGGAAACAUGCUAUGGUUACCGGGCAGAGCAUGCGCAGUCGCUUGGCUACCGUCGGCCUUGCUCCGAGGAUGAGAAAAUGCGAGCGUUUGUACUGGACUUAGUUGUGUCUCCCCUCCUGUUCCUAAUGACUUUAAUUCUCGUUUUCAAGAAUAGAUUAGGCAUUCAUUUGCCCGGGAUGGUAUAGAGCAGAGGGUUGGACUAGAAGACCUCGGAGGUCCCUUCCAGCCUUGCGAUUGAAUUUUACAGGCGUCGAGGUCAGAACAGACCCCGUUUCAGAUGAUUUCAUCGCGGAAAAAAAAUAGAUGCAAAACCGGCUGAGCCGCGCGGGUAUUUCUCCACCGCUCCGGUCUCUUUUGUCUCCCAAGGGCGUGCAAAUACAUCGUAAUUGAAUAGAAUUCUUUCUUGGCCAAGUCUGGUUGGACACACAAGGAAUCUUGUCUCCAGUGCAGAAGCUCUCAGUGUACCCACAAGCAACAAGUGAUAAAUCAUCAUCAUAAUCAUAAUGCAACCAUCAUGAUUGUGAACUUUCCAUCUGUCAGAAAUGGUGUAAUAGAGUCUCCUGCUUGAGGUGGGGAUGGGGGUGGACUAGAUGACCUACAAGGUCCCUUCCAACUCUGUUAUUCUGUUACGCUGUCCCUUAAAAAGACGGAGAAAUGUUGAGAAGAAGCUAGUUUGCUUGGCUUCCUUCGAUUUGGAGAAGUCUGAAAGCUGUUUGUUGGAUGGUGAAGAUUCCUCUUAACCCAGCGAUUUCUGUGUAUAAUUUUGUGGGAACAGCAGGAAAUUGUUACUGCAAGAAUUAGGGAAACCUCUCCUAGUGCAAGAGGGGCCAUACUCGAACGGGACUCCAGCCAGACUUAAACGUGACAGGGAAGUAAGUUCAGGAUCUCCAAAAGAUGGACAGACUUAGGCUGGUUUGCUUUUACAGUAUUGAACAGAAUGCCUCCCUACCUCCUAGUUUGUUUAAUGGGAUCAAAUAGUUAGACGGUAGUAUCAUGAGAACACAAUAUUAAAUUGAAUAUUAAUCCCAGCUGAUUUAAAAACAUAAAUGGAAGCAUCCAAACCUUUCCUAGUCUAUUAUUCCAGAGGUGGCUAAGGUAUGGGUUAGAGAUGACUAAUGUAUGGGAUAGAGUGCCCAAUUCUUUUUCCCUAUGUGCAGACCCUAAAUAAGUAACACCCACUCUAAUAAUGGUCUUGAAAUUUACUUGUUCUGUUUAGCCUAAAAUUAAGGUUCUCUACACAUCCUGUUUUGUGGAGACCAGGGUCCUGAUAUAUCAUGUAUUUAUUUAUCCAUAGCUGCUCAAUUCAACUAAGUGACUCUGGGUGGCUUAACAAGUCUAAAAUUAUAAAACAAUUUAAAAUUAAUUAAAACAAUAAAACAUCCACAAAGUAAAUAAGUACGAACAAUAGCUGUGAUGAUUAACCAAUUAAUAGUAAAGCCAAAUAAAAGGGGUCUGAGUCCCAGGCUUGGGCACAUAAUCAGAUUUUCAUAGCUUUGCAAAAAGCCAACAAAGUUGGGGCCAUUUUAAUCUCCCAAACCAGAAUAUUCCAUAAGGCAGAGGCUACAGCAGAGAAAGCCCAUCUUCUCACCAGUCAAAACUCUAGAUGAUGGAUCUGCAGUGUGGCCAAUCUAAUUGGAUUGGAUGGAUAGAGGCUUUUAGAAAAAGACAGUCCUUUAGGUAACACAGUCCUACACCUUGUAAGGCUUUAAAGGUGAUAACCACCACUUUGAAUUGCACCUUAAAACACAACAGCAGCCAGUGCAGCUGACAGAGGAGUAGUGUCAGAUAUGUCAUGUAGCUGGCACCAUUUAUUAUCCAUGCAGCUAUAUUUUGCAGCAGUUGGAGUUUCCAAAUAUUCUGGAGUACUUUAUUAUUUCCGAGUGUCAUUGUUUUACUCCAAGGGCAGUUAAUGUUACAGGUAGAUUUUGUGGAAUGAGACUCAUUAUUUAGUAAUAACGUUUGAGAAUAACACAUCAACGGACAUGUUCUAACUUGUGUUUAUGUUUAUUCCAUAAAUAUCUACGACACUACAGUUAAGAGAGAAUCAGGAGGUCACAGCACUCUGUUUAGCCAGUUCAAAAAAACAUUAUUUCCUGCAGCGCAAGAAUGCAGGUGGUUUUGUGUGGGAAAAAUAACAUCAUC